GAUGAACGCUGGCGGCGUGCUUAACACAUGCAAGUCGAACGGAAAGGCCCAAGCUUGCUUGGGUACUCGAGUGGCGAACGGGUGAGUAACACGUGGGUGAUCUGCCCUGCACUUCGGGAUAAGCCUGGGAAACUGGGUCUAAUACCGGAUAGGACCACUUCUUGGAUGUUGUGGUGGAAAGUUUUUUCGGUGUGGGAUUAGCUCGCGGCGUAUCGGCUUGUUGGUGGGGUAAUGGCCUACCAAGGCGUCGCCGGGUAGCCGGCCUGAGGGGGUGUACGGCGGCAUUGGGACUGAGGGAAGGCCCAGACACCGAAGGGUGGGAGCAGGGGGGAAGAUUGAAGAAGGGGCGCAAGGCGGAUGAAGCGAGGCCGCGGGGGGGAGGACGCUGUUAGGGUUGAAAAAAAAUUGCGUAAGGGACGAAGCGUGUUGUGACGGUACCUGGAGAAGAAGCAACGGCUAACUACGUG
rnacentral:rRNA from 1 species